rnacentral:tRNA from 1 species
ACCUGGCUGGCUUAGUUGGUAGAGCAUGGGACUCUCCUCUGUCUCGGAGUUAUAGGUUCAAGCCCCAUAUCAGGUA